AAAAAAAAAAAAAGUAGCUACUAGAAAAAUUUAAGUUAUUUAUAUGGCUCACAUUAUCUUUCUAUUGCUUUCUUUGCUAAGUUUAUUUCAAUUCCAUUAUCUGCCUAGUUUCUAUGCUAGCUGCCUAACUUCUAUGCUAGCUAGUGAUUUGCUGCAUAUGAUUAACAACUGUUUCAUUUUAAUUCAUUAUAAGUGCCUGGAAACUGCAAUAAUGCUAAAUUGUCUUCCCAUAUUUUGGAAACAAGGUUAAAAAGUUCUGUAGCACCCUAUAGUUGAUUUUAUUAGUAAGAACUUCAGUGCAGACUAUCUACAGGAAACUGAUUUUUGUAGAUGUUAUCACAAUUCAUUUUGAAAUCUGUAAGUUGGAUAGUGUUUAUUAACUCUUCUGCAGAUAAAUUAUUUCUACAAUGAAAAUCUCCAAGCUAGUACAUGAAUAAGAUUGGACUAGAGAAAAAGCUUAUUUGAAAAACAUUUUAUGAGGGUUUUCAUUUAUUGUCUAAACACUAAAAUUUUUUUGCAGUGUUCCAAUUGACACAGGCCAAGAAAUGCCUGUACCGGUAACAAACACACCUAGGAAACAGGGCUGGCUGCCAUAUCAAAAAGUCUCUCUGCUAAGGUUCAUCUUAAAGAAAAUCAUGCUAACUCACAAGAAUAUCCGAAGAGGAGUCAUGCAGUAUUGUCAACUUCAGAGAGUAGCAGAGGAUGCACAUUUAAUUUCUUUACCAUUUGCUACCAUCUGAAGUUAGUAACAUUUUCUGGCUAAUCACCAAGCACUCAGAAAGAAAGAAAUAGAGCAAAUUUGGUGCAUCGUUGUCUUCCAUAUCUCCUUUCGAAGUCAUUUCCACAGUAUAAGUGCUAAAGCACAGAAAAGAAGCUAGGCUCCACUUUUUACUCUCAUGAACAAAAGUCUUCCCAUCGAUUUCUACACAGCUGCUGCAUUUGUCUUCAUCCCUUUCCUGAAGAGUCUUGUUGCUGUGGUCUUGCUCUAGGGCUGCUUUCAGCAACCUUUCUGACGCAGGUUUAAUGCUGAUUAGCCCUAAAACAAUUCUAGGGCAGGGCUCCCUGCCAGGAUAAAGAAUGAACAAAAUUGGUUUGCAUAUAGGCCAGCUGCAGUUGCUGCAGCUAGAGUCUGUCAAACAAGGACCAUUUUCUUGUUUACCAAAAUGAGGUUAAAUUAGCACAGCAUGAGGCAAAAGAAAGAUUUAAAAAAAAAAAAGAAAAGAAAAGAAAAUUAGCAAUGCUUUUGAGUAUGAUGCAGUGAGUGUGGAAUUAAAGUGAGUUUAAGUUAGUUUGAGAAGGGAAGGUAAUAUACAGUACUAAAAGCUUGAUUAAAAGCUGUUUGAAGAUAUUUGCUUGCUAACGAUCUUAGUUUAAAAAAAAAAAAAAGGUAUAUUUGAAUAGGGCUUCAAAGCCCACAGAUUACAUUUAGACAAGUCAGUUGACCCAUUUAUAUUGAGUAUGUGCCUCAUGCUUAGCUCUGGUCCGGCACAAGGGUAUAGAGGUGGACAUUUAAUAGAGGAGGACACUGUCUUUGAGACUGGGUUUCUGGAGACUCUUAAUUCAAGCCUCAGCUCUGUCUUUAAUUCUCACCUUAGGCAAACGAUGUUAACUGAGCAUCUGUGUUCUCCUAAUGUAAACAGUGAGAGAGUGAGAGGGACUGCUCGGGCUUUUAAAGAUAAUUCAAGUCUAAUAUCUUUUGAAUUAUUUGUGUAGUGUUAUUUCCUAAAAUAUUUCAAUCAAGUUUUAUGUGUUCAUUGUCUCUGACAGUGGGACAUCCAGUCUAGAUGAGGAGGAAAGAUGAGCUAUGUAAUCAGAGAAGCUGAACGUGAGAGGUUUCUGACUUCCAGAGCUUCAGUUUACAAAGCUCUUUUUCCCUACCUCUCCACUUUGCGCUGCUCCAUUGCAGAGACUGCCCAUGGAUCCACCUUUGGGAACUCAGGCUUUUUAUUCCAGCAAUGCAAGGCUGGGUUGAGGGAAGGAGCCCCCACUUUCUCAUCCACCUGCAAAGGCAGAGUACAUAGCUGCAGGUAACAAGUUAUAGGAAGGGACAGUGUGAGGCAGAAAGGCACAGUAAAGGAUCAACUUCAUAGUGAUUGAUGAUCCCCAAAGUGUCAUUUGACUUCUUAGACUCCCAGAACCCCUGUGCUUCACCUCCCAGCCUUUCAUCAACUCUGGAUUCAAGGACUUCUGAACUUGAUCUCUGUCACUUUCUCCUUGCUGACUUUCCCACAUCCCAGUCUUCAAUCAUUAAAAGCAUCCCUACUAGGUUAGGGCUGGGAAGUGAGGAGACUUAAUCAUCUUGUAACAUUGUUCCUAUGGGAGGUGAAUUAUUUUAUAGACUAACGUCCAAAUACAAUCAUUAGUAAAACUAAGGCUACAACUGUUAAUUUAACUGGAGCUUGUAUAGUUAUGGAGAGAUCCUUUCUUUUAUCAAUUCAUAUUUCUAUGUACUUCUCAUUCAGUACUGUGCUAUACUUUUCACUGCCCUUCACCUCAGCUAAGAUGGUUUUCACCUUAAGUCUCUAGACAAAGGCAGCAAACAGCCAA